ACCAAGGCGCUUGAGAGAACUCGGGUGAAGGAACUAGGCAAAAUGGUGCCGUAACUUCGGGAGAAGGCACGCUGACAUGUAGGUGAAGUGAUUUACUCAUGGAGCUGAAGUCAGUCGAAGAUACCAGCUGGCUGCAACUGUUUAUUAAAAACACAGCACUGUGCAAACACGAAAGUGGACGUAUACGGUGUGACGCCUGCCCGGUGCCGGAAGGUUAAUUGAUGGGGUCAGCGCAAGCGAAGCUCCUGAUCGAAGCCCCGGUAAACGGCGGCCGUAACUAUAACGGUCCUAAGGUAGCGAAAUUCCUUGUCGGGUAAGUUCCGACCUGCACGAAUGGCGUAAUGAUGGCCAGGCUGUCUCCACCCGAGACUCAGUGAAAUUGAACUCGCUGUGAAGAUGCAGUGUACCCGCGGCAAGACGGAAAGACCCCGUGAACCUUUACUAUAGCUUGACACUGAACAUUGAGCCUUGAUGUGUAGGAUAGGUGGGAGGCUUUGAAGUGUGGACGCCAGUCUGCAUGGAGCCGACCUUGAAAUACCACCCUUUAAUGUUUGAUGUUCUAACGUGGACCCGUGAUCCGGGUUGCGGACAGUGUCUGGUGGGUAGUUUGACUGGGGCGGUCUCCUCCUAAAGAGUAACGGAGGAGCACGAAGGUUGGCUAAUCCUGGUCGGACAUCAGGAGGUUAGUGCAAUGGCAUAAGCCAGCUUGACUGCGAGCGUGACGGCGCGAGCAGGUGCGAAAGCAGGUCAUAGUGAUCCGGUGGUUCUGAAUGGAAGGGCCAUCGCUCAACGGAUAAAAGGUACUCCGGGGAUAACAGGCUGAUACCGCCCAAGAGUUCAUAUCGACGGCGGUGUUUGGCACCUCGAUGUCGGCUCAUCACAUCCUGGGGCUGAAGUAGGUCCCAAGGGUAUGGCUGUUCGCCAUUUAAAGUGGUACGCGAGCUGGGUUUAGAACGUCGUGAGACAGUUCGGUCCCUAUCUGCCGUGGGCGCUGGAGAACUGAGGGGGGCUGCUCCUAGUACGAGAGGACCGGAGUGGACGCAUCACUGGUGUUCGGGUUGUCAUGCCAAUGGCACUGCCCGGUAGCUAAAUGCGGAAGAGAUAAGUGCUGAAAGCAUCUAAGCACGAAACUUGCCCCGAGAUGAGUUCUCCCUGAGACUUUAGGUCUCCUGAAGGAACGUUGAAGACGACGACGUUGAUAGGCCGGGUGUGUAAGCGCAGCGAUGCGUUGAGCUAACCGGUACUAAUGAACCGUGAGGCUUAACCUU
rnacentral:rRNA from 1 species